rnacentral:rRNA from 1 species
AUUGAACGCUGGCGGCAGGCUUAACACACGCAAGUCGAGCGGAGAUGAGGUGCUUGCACCUUAUCUUAGCGGCGGACGGGUGAGUAAUGCUUAGGAAUCUGCCUAUUAGUGGGGGACAACAUUCCGAAAGGAAUGCUAAUACCGCAUACGCCCUACGGGGGAAAGCAGGGGAUCUUCGGACCUUGCGCUAAUAGAUGAGCCUAAGUCGGAUUAGCUAGUUGGUGGGGUAAAGGCCUACCAAGGCGACGAUCUGUAGCGGGUCUGAGAGGAUGAUCCGCCACACUGGGACUGAGACACGGCCCAGACUCCGACGGGAGGCAGCAGUGGGGAAUAUUGGACAAUGGGCGGAAGCCUGAUCCAGCCAUGCCGCGUGUGUGAAGAAGGCCUUUUGGUUGUAAAGCACUUUAAGCGAGGAGGAGGCUACCUGGAUUAAUACUCUAGGAUAGUGGACGUUACUCGCAGAAUAAGCACCGGCUAACUCUGUGCCAGCCGCCGCCGUAAGAC